AUUGAACGCUGGCGGCAGGCUUAACACAUGCAAGUCGAGCGGGGUGAUGGUGCUUGCACUAUCACUUAGCGGCGGACGGGUGAGUAAUGCUUAGGAAUCUGCCUAUUAGUGGGGGACAACAUCUCGAAAGGGAUGCUAAUACCGCAUACGUCCUACGGGAGAAAGCAGGGGAUCACUUGUGACCUUGCGCUAAUAGAUGAGCAUAAGUCGGAUUAGCUAGUUGGUGGGGUAAAGGCCUACCAAGGCGACGAUCUGGAGCGGGUCUGAGAGGAUGAGCCGCCACACUGGGACUGAGACACGGCCCAGACUCCUACGGGAGGCAGCAGUGGGGAAUAUUGGACAAUGGGGGGAACCCCGAUCCAGCCAUGCCGCGUGUGUGAAGAAGGCCUUAUGGUUGUAAAGCACUUUAAGCGAGGAGGAGGCUCUUUUGGUUAAUACCCAAGAUGAGUGGACGUUACUCGCAGAAUAAGCACCGGCUAACUCUGUGCCAGCCGCCGCCGUAA
rnacentral:rRNA from 1 species